AGUGAACGCUGGCGGUAGGCCUAACACAUGCAAGUCGAACGGCAGCACAGGAGAGCUUGCUCUCUGGGUGGCGAGUGGCGGACGGGUGAGGAAUACAUCGGAAUCUACUUUUUCGUGGGGGAUAACGUAGGGAAACUUACGCUAAUACCGCAUACGACCUACGGGCGAAAGCAGGGGUUCUUCGGACCUUGCGCGAUUGAAUGAGCCGAUGUCGGAUUAGCUCGUUGGCGGGGUAAAGGCCCACCAAGGCGACGAUCCGUAGCUGGUCUGAGAGGGUGAUCAGCCACACUGGAACUGAGACACGGUCCAGACUCCUACGGGAGGCAGCAGUGGGGAAUAUUGGACAAUGGGCGCAAGCCUGAUCCAGCCAUACCGCGUGGGUGAAGAAGGCCUUCGGGUUGUAAAGCCCUUUUGUUGGGAAAGAAAUCCAGCUGGUUAAUACCCGGUUGGGAUGACAGUACCCAAAGAAUAAGCACCGGCUAACUUCGUGCCAGCAGCCGCCGUAA
rnacentral:rRNA from 1 species